rnacentral:lncRNA from 1 species
GCGCGUUUCCUGCGGGCUCCGUCCUGACCCUGCUUCCAGCGGCAUUUCCAGUAAGGUCCAGUCAUCAGUCUCUCAGAUCCACCUAACUCACGCUUCAAUAGCCCUGUUCAAAACUCUCCUUCUUCACUGUUUUACAUAUUCAGCCAGCUGCUCUGGGGCUGACCUCCUGCACAUCCUCUGAGGCAGGUGCCUGGGCUUUUCACCUGGACAACAGGGCGAGACUGGGGAGUCGCUUGCACCCAUUUUCAUAAAAUUAUGACCAAGAAAACAGCGGCUGCAAUCUGAUUGUUGCUGAUGUCUUAGAGAUCAUCCUCAGACUUACUGGACUAAACAGCCAUUCUCAACACCCGAUGAUACCCUCCAAGGGCCCAUUCCUCCUCCUUAAGAAAUGCCUGAAGUCAGACUCCCAUCACGGUAGCUGCCGGAGAUGCCUUCACCUCUGCUGCGGCCAGUCCUAAACCAGAAUCCCACAGGGAAAGGGUUCCAGGAGACCCGAUUGCCUGUUCUGGUUAAUACACCCCAAAAUCACCGCAACAACUUAACAAUGUACAUUGAAGUGUUAAAAAUGGUGCUGGGAAAACUGGCUAGCCA